CACAGGAGUUUAUUACCGGCCAGGACCCGAGCCGAGCAUCCAUCGGACUGGAGCCCUGACUGGGGGUUGACAAACAUGUUUUAUACACCUUUGAGGCCAGCAGUUUCUAGGCCCCCCCCUAUGGGAUAGAACUAGUAAAGCAAGCAAAAGGUACAGAAGCAGAAUGUCCUGCCGUUAGAACAUUUGUAAAACAAUAGUUGAUUGUUAUUUCUAAAGAGACUUUCUAAGGGGAGGAGGUUUUUAGCUUCCUCCUUCUGAGUUCAUCUAAAGGGCAGGCAGGUGGGUCAAGCAGCAAUAUGGAGUCUGUCUUGCUAACUAGGGUCCUUCAGAAACCAUCUCAAGCUGAUACAGGGGGAAUAGAUGUAACUCCCAAGCCUACUAGAUAUCCAAAACAUGAGUUCCUGUUCUCUAAAAUGAAAGGAUGAAUUCUAGGAACAAUGGAAGUUAAGAGUAGGAAAAACUUAUUGAGAGAAAAAGACAGCUUCUAAGAGAGACAGAAGGGGGACUGGAAAAUGGGUUACUCACUCACUCUGCUUCUCAAAGGUGUUUUAUGGGACAAAGCCAUGAGGUGAGGCGGGUUUAAGGUGGGACAAAACUAUAGUCAACUAAUAAGAUUACAAGUACAGCCGUUUAGGUAAUACUAAUCCAAUGAUAAAUCACAAAUUGGACAAAACUAUGAACAACCAAUAAGAUUGUGACAAGUAUACUGGCUUAGGUAAUAUUGACUAAUGGGGAUCCGAUGGGGAAGCAAGUCACAUAGGGAGCUUACAAAGAUUUUUCAGUGGGGCCAGAGAUUUAGCUCAGUGGUUUUGCUGCCUGCUGAGCAAGCGCAAGGACCCAAGUUUGAUCCCUGAUACCAAAAACAAAAGAAAAAAAAAUGAAUUUUAGGCCAGGGAUUUAGCUCAGUGGUUCCACCACCUGCCUCAAAAGCACAAGGUCCCAAGUUCGAUCCCUGGUACCAAAAAAAAAAAAAAAAGAUUUUCAGUAAGGGCAAGUCAAGGCUCUUUCCUGGAAAGGGUGGGUUAAAACCUUGGCCCCCCACCCGGGUGAUUGAUACCUAUUUAGAGUAUCAAUCACUGCUAUUCAUCCUUCGGAGAAGUGCACCCUGUGGGUGUGGUAGUUUCUCUUUUACAGUGCGGACCUUCAGUGAAUGUGUCUUGAUUGUCCUCCAUGUUGGCUCCUCAGGCUCAGCCCUGUCUAACUGCCUAAAAGGUAUCUAGUUAACUUAUCUAUCUACUGUACUAUCUCAAAACAUAAAAUAAAAAAAGGGCUGGAGAUGUAGUUCAGUGUAAAGGCCCUGGGUUUAAUCCCCAGUACCACCCCUCCAAACAAAAAAUUCUCAAACCACCUCUUCCACAAGGUGCACCCCACAUUCCAGUAACUGCUCCCUGGGCUUGACUCACAGCUAUAAAUCAACUGCUAGCAUGGGCAACUGAUUGGAUUCCUUUACUUAAGAGUGAGAACAACUAUUUGAGAGUUUCACCAUUCAGUUUUAGAAAGUAUCUUGUUUCCCAUUUGAUAAAUACCCUGGAAACUGUUGGGGAUUAACUAGGCUACAUAACUCAGACCUUACAUUCUCGAGGUGGGUGUUAUCUUUCUUCAGGAACAGGGAAGUAGUGGAAGGCUGCUUGCUCUGCCCCAUGGGUGGAAUGCCAAUAACCUGGCACCCCUGAGGCAAGACAGCAUUUGCUGAGGACAGUUGUCAAUAUUCUGGCAUUUGGGUGUAGAGAAAAAUCUGGUUCCUAGUUAACUUAAUCCUUAUCCACCUAUUCUCCACAGUUGCUGUUUCUUGAAACAGCAUGCUACCCCUCUUCUUGCGCUUCUCACUGGCUAAUAAAAGUGGGCCAAAGCAGAGUUUUAUUCAAAUCUGUCAGCUAGAAGCAAGUCUUCUCUCACUUCCCCUUUUAUGUCUUGAAAAUUGUCUCUUUUUAUUCCUCAUCAUUCCCUCCAAAAGGUAGCUGAAGGUCUGAUCAUCCUUCAGUAGGAAACUACCCAAGAGACCAAAUGAAGCUUUAAAUUCCAAAAUUUUAAUUGAAAUCAAGAAGCCUUUCACCUGAUGUAUACUCACAUACCCAGAAUGUCAUUUCAUAAGCAAGCAUUGCUGGCACAUUAUAUAUCAUAUUUAGGCUCCAAUUAAUGACAUCAUUCUGUUCCUCAGAUCCACAACUAAUUCCCACGAGAGAUGUUUAAAUAUAUAACCAUCUUUGCAUCAUAUCAAAUGAUAUGAUAUAUGUAGUUAAGUUGUAAGCUUUUUAAAACAGCUAUAUUGUAUACUGGCAUACUCAAUACAACAAUAAAAAUUUUUUUAAAUCUUCCGUUAUCUCAAUUAUUUCUGCUUCAUCAUCAGAAUACAAUAAAAAUAUUUGAAAGUUUCAUCACCUAGUUGUACUUCAUGAGCUGUCCUUUGUCGAUGUUGAAUGAGAAUUCAAAUGACUAGGAAGAGGAGUGAUGGAGGAAACACUGUUCCCUACCUCUACAGAACCAUGGACCACCAGUGGACAUGGGGGAGGGCUCCGAAGCAAAGGGCUGGCCUCAGCUUGAUUUGGACAGCAGUGAUUUGUAGGCAAGCCAGUCAAUGGGGAGAAAGAUGAACAAAGUUGCAAAUCCCCAAGAUGAACAUGAGUUUUUCUAGGCUUUAGAAAUAGUAUCUUUUACUUGGAUGUCCCUAAAAAAAAAAAAAAGGAAAACAAAACCAAAAGACACCUCCCCAAAUGUUUGGUAUUAAGAAUCUCUUGGGCUGGGGAUUUAGCUCAGUGGUUUCACCGCCUGCUGUGCAAGCACAAGGACUGGAGUUCGAUCCCCAG
rnacentral:lncRNA from 1 species